rnacentral:rRNA from 1 species
UACGGAGGAUGCGAGCGUUAUCCGGAUUUAUUGGGUUUAAAGGGAGCGUAGACGGGUCCUUAAGUCAGUUGUGAAAGUUUGCGGCUCAACCGUAAAAUUGCAGUUGAUACUGGGGACCUUGAGUGCGGCAGAGGCAGGCGGAAUUCGUGGUGUAGCGGUGAAAUGCUUAGAUAUCACGAAGAACUCCGAUUGCGAAGGCAGCUUGCUGGACCGUAACUGACGUUGAGGCACGAAAGCGUGGGGAGCGAACAGG